rnacentral:rRNA from 1 species
AUUGAACGCUGGCGGCAUGCCUUACACAUGCAAGUCGAACGGCAGCAUAGGAGCUUGCUCCUGAUGGUGAGUGGCGAACGGGUGAGUAAUAUAUCGGAACGUGCCCUAGAGUGGGGGAUAACUAGUCGAAAGACUAGCUAAUACCGCAUACGAUCUACGGAUGAAAGUGGGGGAUCGCAAGACCUCAUGCUCCUGGAGCGGCCGAUAUCUGAUUAGCUAGUUGGUGGGGUAAAAGCCUACCAAGGCGACGAUCAGUAGCUGGUCUGAGAGGACGACCAGCCACACUGGGACUGAGACACGGCCCAGACUCCUACGGGAGGCAGCAGUGGGGAAUUUUGGACAAUGGGGGCAACCCUGAUCCAGCAAUGCCGCGUGAGUGAAGAAGGCCUUUGGGUUGUAAAGCUCUUUUGUCAGGGAAGAAACGGUAGUAGCUAAUAUCUAUUACUAAUGACGGUACCUGAAGAAUAAGCACCGGCUAACUACGUGCCAGCAGCCGCCGUAA